AGAGGUAUAGUUUAAUGGUAGAAUAAAGAUCUCCAAAAUCUUUGAUGUAGGUUCGAUUCCUACUACCUCUA